CUGUUGGUAAAGGCUAUACUAUAUAGCAGCUAACCAGCUGUCUCUGCCUGUAGUCUGUAGGUUAAGGCUAUACUAUAUCACCACUAACAAGCUGUUUCUGCCCUGUGGUCUGUAGGUUAAGGCUAUACUAUAUCACCACUAACCAGCUGUUUCUGCCCUGUAGUCUGUAGGUUAAGGCUAUACUAUAUACUAUAUCACCACUAACCAGCUGUCUCUGCCCUGUAGUCUGUAGGUUAAGGCUAUACUAUAUCACCACUAACCAGCGGUCUCUGCCCUGUAGUCUGUAGGUUAAGGCUAUACUAUAUCACCACUAACCAGCUGUCUCUGCCCUGUGGUCUGUAGUUUAAGGCUAUACUAUAUCACCACUAAACAGCUGUCUCUGCCCUGUAGUCUGUAGGUUAAGGCUAUACUAUAUCACCACUAACCAGAUUUCUCUGCCCUGUAGUCUGUAGGUUAAGGCUAUACUAUAUCACCACUAACCAGCUGUCUCUUCCCUGUAGUCUGUAGGUUAAGGCUAUACUAUAUCACCACUAACCAGCUGUCUCUGCCCUGUAGUCUGUAGGUUAAGGCUAUACUAUAUCACCACUAACCAGCUGUCUCUGCCCUGUAGUCUGUAGGUUAAGGCUAUACUAUAUCACCACUAACCAGCUGUCUCUGCCCUGUAGUCUGUAGGUUAAGGCUAUACUAUAUCACCACUAACCAGCUGUCUCUGCCCUGUAGUCUCUAGGUUAAGGCUAUACUAUAUCACCACUAACCAGCUGUCUCUGCCCUGUAGUCUGUAGGUUAAGGCUAUACUAUAUACAAUAUCACCACUAACCAGCUGUCUCUGCCCUGUAGUCUGUAGGUUAAGGCUAUACUAUAUCACCACUAACCAGCUGUCUCUGCCCUGUAGUCUGUAGGUUAAGGCUAUACUAUAUCACCACUAACCAGCUGUCUCUGCCCUGUAGUCUGUAGGUUAAGGCUAUACUAUAUCACCACUAACCAGCUGUCUCUGCCCUGUAGUCUGUAGGUUAAGGCUAUACUAUAUACUAUAUCACCACUAACCAGCUGUCUCUGCCCUGUAGUCUGUAGGUUAAGGCUAUACUAUAUCACCACUAACCAGCUGUCUCUGCCCUGUAGUCUGUAGGUUAAGGCUAUACUAUAUCACCACUAACCAGCUGUCUCUGCCCUGUAGUCUGUAGGUUAAGGCUAUACUAUAUCACCACUAACCAGCUGUCUCUGCCCUGUAGUCUGUAGGUUAAGGCUAUACUAUAUCACCACUAACCAGCUGUCUCUGCCCUGUAGUCUGUAGGUUAAGACUAUACUAU